AGCCUCCCUCCUCCCUUUGUCUCCCUUGUACUUUACUGCAUAGUGGGAGAGGGGUAGCUAACUUUGGCUAAGCCUGGUACCUGGCAGAGCCAUGCUCUGUUUAUCAGUUCUCCCACUUCUAUUUGCUCCCUCUAGCAAAGGUUUAACUCUUUCAGUCAGAAUUUGUCAGAAAGUUUACUGAGGUCUUCCUGCCAUUAUUUCCCUAUCUGCCCCCUUUCCCUACAAUUGGAUCCAUGAAUACAUUUGCAACUUAAAGGGCUGUUGGGUAGAAACUUUAGGUGGUGAAGUCUAGUUAGAGGAACUAGGUCUAGUUAGAGGAACUAGUUAGAGGAACUAAGGGGGCAUGUCUUUGAAUAUAUUCAGUAUAUUUGUUCCUUCCCUUCCACUUCCUGGUCUUUAUGAAGUGAGGAGCUUUCUGCACCAUGCACUUCUGCUAUAAUGUUCUUCCUUACUAUAGGCCUACAAGCAAUGGAGCCAGCUGACCAUGUACUGAAACUUCCAAAACGAUCUGAAUCCUCCCUUCAUCCUAACAAUUCCAUGGAGAGCUAAAAUACAGCGCAAACUGGACUAUUGACUUCAGCAUUCUGGUCAGAAGGUUAGGAGACAGAAAUGUACUUAAAAAGAAAUCACAUAUGACAGACUACAAAGCAAUAGAAGAGAUAUGAAAGCUGAAUUUGCCUCUCCAGCCCAAGGUUCAUUUUUUGAAUGUCUUUGUGCACUCAUAGUGGCUGAAACUGGCAGCUACCAGAUACCACCCGCUUGAUCUCCAUCCCGCAUUUUCUCCAGCUCCAUUCUUAAACUCUUCUCCCUUCUGAGAUUUCAGCUUCUUGUGUUUCUCUUUUCCUUGUGGCCUUCUACAAUCUUCCGCUCACACAUAACUCAUUGUUUUAAAAAUCUAGGUGCAUUAUUAUUCGAAUAUGGUGAGGCGAACUGUCACUGAAAAGACAGUUUGCUGUACACUCAGACCCCAGGAGAAGGGGCACAUCUUGCCACAGGCAGGUUGCAGAAUAAUAAAGAGGCACGAGGGAUGGUCAGGAAGCAGAGGGAGCUGGAGGAAACAUGGGUACAAAUCUUGGUUGUGUUUUCCACAGGAAGGAAUAUGCAAAGCAUGGUAGGCUGUUGUAGGAUUGGCUAGCUCCUCUGGGACGUAGGAGCUGUCCCUGGCUGUCUAUUACCUGGUUCUGGGGUGGUCAGGGAAGGUGGAUGUUGGCCCAGACUGUAAAGAGCUUGAUAAAGGAGUUGAUCAUUGUGUGGGUGCUGGGGUAGUUUGCACAUGAAAGGAUUCCUAGAAAUUGACUAACUCUGGGAAGGGCAGUGUCUCCAGAGUUAGCCGGGCCCUAGGACAGUGAUGGCAAAGCUUUCAGAUGGUGAACCUUUUAGAGCCCAAGUGCCCAAACUGCAACCUAAAAACCCACUUACUUAUCACAAAGUCCCCAAACUGCAAUUAAACCUGAAUACUGAGGUUUUCAUUUAGGAAAAACAACUCAGACACUUGGUGCCGACAGAGAGGGCACUGCUUCUCCACUGCAGCAUGCCUGCCAGAGGUUCACCACCACUGCCCUAGGAUAUUAAAGCAUCGGAAUAAAAGAGCAUGGUUCACACACAUGUAUUCUUUAGAGAAUAGGAAGAAUUAUAAGAGCAGAACUUUUAUUCAUGUGUCACCAUUUCCCUAUGUGCUAUGAUCAUUAUCUGUCUCUGCUUUUCCUCUUUACUACCCACAAAGGGGUGUGUGUGUGUGUGUGUGUGUGUGUGUGUGUGUGUGUGUAUAGUAUUGGGUAUGGAACCCAGGAUCUUUACCCUGAGCUUUAUUUCCAAUUUUUUUGUUUUUGAGACAGGAUCUCGCUAAAUUGCUCAGUUGCCCAAGUUGGGCCUAAACUUGCAAUCCUCCUGCCUCAGCCUCCCGGAGUGCUGGGAUUACUGUCAUAUACCACCAUGCCUGGCUACCAAGUUCUUUCUCUUUUAGAAGGUUUACACUGAAAAGAGUAGAAGAGCAAAUGUUAGAAUCCAUGUGGGCUGGAGAUGAUUGAGUGGGGUGACAUGAAAAGAUGAUUGUUACGAUUUCAUUUGGGUAUUUGGGGGAGACAUUUUUAGAAUGUGUAAAUGCUGUCCUCAAGUAAUCUUAUUUCUCCCUCAAGUCCCCCAAAGUACAUGUAUGCAUAGAGAAAUCACUUGCAAAGCCAACCAAUGCUUUAAUUGUAGCCGUGACUUCAGCCCUGAAACAUAAUGCCUCUACAUGAGCUAGGCCAGAUGCUGUCUUGGAGCGAUCUGUCUAGAAUCAAAGCAGACUGGCCUGAUGUCAUUUGUUUUCUUCCCAGAGACUUGAGUGUAUCACUCUGAAGAGAAGACAGACCAUUCCAAACCUCUAGCAAAGGCCAAGGAAUGAGAUAGAGCCUGGGGCCCAUGCUGGAAUGAAACCAGCCUUGACUUUUGACUCUGGGCUCCCUUAGACCAGCCAGGAUCCCGCUCCAUAGGGGAAGAGAAACACUUAGAACUGUCAAUGAAACAGGGAUCCGUUCAGCUAGGAGAAAGGAAGAACCAAAUCGGGGACAACCCCAUCUUUUAAAGGGAAAUGCAUCCAUUCAAGACAGGUACCACUAUAUUGACCAACAAAAUGUGACCAAUGAUAGCAAAACCUCAUUUUGAGAAUGAACUUCCCCACCCCCAGAGGAAAUAAAGGAAAAAAGAGAAAGCGCUGAGCUUUUUCUGGAAGCAGGUGGGGUCCAGUGGUCCUUCCAGCCCAUGCCAGCAAGCCCACAUGGCCACGAGUGAGGAAAAUUCAUCUAAUUUCCCUUCUUCCAUUCCUUCACUCUGCACUUAGACUGCUUCACUUUGUAAUUAGGUCCCUCCACUGAC
rnacentral:lncRNA from 1 species